UUCCGGUUGAUCCUGCCGGAGGCCAUUGCUAUCGGAGUCCGAUUUAGCCAUGCUAGUUGCACGAGUUCAGACUCGUGGCAGAAAGCUCAGUAACACGUGGCCAAGCUACCCUAUGGAGAGGGAUAACCCCGGGAAACUGGGGCUAAUACCUCAUAACGCUCCCCAACUGGAAUGUGGGGAGCCGGAAACGCUCCGGCGCCAUAGGAUGCGGCUGCGGUCGAUUAGGUAGACGGUGGGGUAACGGCCCACCGUGCCGAUAAUCGGUACGGGUCGUGAGAGCGAGUGCCCGGAGAUGGAUUCUGAGACAAGAAUCCAGGCCCUACGGGGCGCAGCAGGCGCGAAAACUUUACACUGCACGCAAGUGCGAUAGGGGGACUCCGAGUGUGUGGGCAUAGAGCCCACACUUUUGUGUACCGUAAGGUGGUACACGAAUAAGAGCUGGGCAGGACCGGUGCCAGCCGCCGCGGUAAUACCGGCAGCUCAAGUGAUGGCCGAUUUUAUUGGGCCUAAAGCGUCCGUAGCCGGCCGGGCAAGUCCGUUGGGAAAUCUGUUCGCUUAACGAACAGGCGUCCAGCGGAAACUGCUCGGCUUGGGACCGAAAGACCUGAGGGGUACGUCCGGGGUAGGAGUGAAAUCCUGUAAUCCUGGACGGACCACCGAUGGGGAAACCACCUCAGGAGGACGGAUCCGACGGUGAGGGACGAAAGCUAGGGUCUCGAACCGGAUUAGAUACCCGGGUAGUCCUAGCUGUAAACGAUGUCUGCUAGGUGUGGCACAGGCUACGAGCCUGUGCUGUGCCGUAGGGAAGCCGAGAAGCAGACCGCCUGGGAAGUACGUCCGCAAGGAUGAAACUUAAAGGAAUUGGCGGG
rnacentral:rRNA from 1 species